rnacentral:rRNA from 2 species
UACAGAGGGGGCAAGCGUUGUUCGGAAUUACUGGGCGUAAAGGGCGCGUAGGCGGCCCACUAAGUCAGACGUGAAAUCCCACGGCUCAACCGUGGAACUGCGUCUGAGACUGGAGGGCUUGAAUCCGGGAGAGGGAUGCGGAAUUCCAGGUGUAGCGGUGAAAUGCGUAGAUAUCUGGAGGAACACCGGUGGCGAAGGCGGCAUCCUGGACCGGCAUUGACGCUGAGGCGCGAAAGCCAGGGGAGCAAACGGG